AGGUUAAGCGACUAAGCGUACACGGUGGAUGCCCUGGCAGUCAGAGGCGAUGAAGGACGUGCUAAUCUGCGAUAAGCGUCGGUAAGGUGAUAUGAACCGUUAUAACCGGCGAUUUCCGAAUGGGGAAACCCCGCACGACGUGUCGUGUGACCCCCGGUUGAACACAUAGACCGGGUGGAGGGAACGUGGGGAAGUGAAACAUCUCAGUACCCACAGGAAGAGAAAACAAAAGUGAUUCCGUUAGUAGUGGCGAGCGAACGCGGAUGGGGCUAAACCGUAUGUGUGUGAUACCCGGCAGGGGUUGCAUGUGCGGUGUUGUGGGCCCCUCCUUGUCAUGUCUGCCGGCAUGGCGCAGUGAGGUGCGGGCAUAUAGACGAACCAGUGUGGAUGCUGGACCGUAGAGGGUGAGAGUCCCGUAGUCGAAAUGUGUUCCGCCGCUGUUGGAGGGUUGCCCGAGUAGCACGGGGCCCGAGAAAUCCCGUGUGAAUCU
rnacentral:rRNA from 1 species